AUGAACGCUGGCGGCGUGCCUAAUACAUGCAAGUCGAGCGAACAGACGAGGAGCUUGCUCCUCUGACGUUAGCGGCGGACGGGUGAGUAACACGUGGAUAACCUACCUAUAAGACUGGGAUAACUUCGGGAAACCGGAGCUAAUACCGGAUAAUAUAUUGAACCGCAUGGUUCAAUAGUGAAAGACGGUUUUGCUGUCACUUAUAGAUGGAUCCGCGCCGCAUUAGCUAGUUGGUAAGGUAACGGCUUACCAAGGCGACGAUGCGUAGCCAACCUGAGAGGUGAAAGGGCAAACCGGGAAGGAGAAAAGGGCGAGGGCAACAAGGGGGGGAGGAGUAAGGGAAAUUUAGGAAUGGAGGAAAGGCUUAACGAGCAAAGUCUGGGUGGUGAAGAAAGUUGUUGGAAUGUAAAGCCUCGUUGAAAAGGGAGAAAGGGAGGGAGAAGGGAAAGUUCACGACGGGACGGUACCUUACCAGAAAGGGACGGCUAACUAGGUG
rnacentral:rRNA from 1 species